UUGUUUCUAUAUAAAAUAAUGCUAAAAAUAAAGCAAUUAAUUACAUUCACUUUUGGUGUAUCCAGAUGAUAGAAGCAAUUAUUUGCAUUCACUUUUGUAGUAAAUUAAUUUUACUAUAUAAUGAAAAGGUCAAACUUGCAAACGUUUUUUUUUUUUAAUAUGCCGUCUAGUCUAGUUACAUGAUUAUAUUAGAAGGUAAUCUGACAUAAGAAGCACAAUACUGGAGUAUAUAAGGUGAUCCUCAUAUGUAUGGUAACUAUAAAGGUCCUAAUGAAGAAUAAUUCUAUUAAACACAUAGGAAAGAUGUAAUUGUACGGGAGAUUUAAUUACAAAGAAAAUUAGACUAAAAGAACCCAUAAAGUUUAUAAAAUGGAGAACCUGUUGCCUUUAGCAUCGUUCGUCUCACAUCCACAGGCAUCUCCACGUCACAUACGAACCAACAAUCAGUCACCUAAAAUAAGAUGUUAUUCAAUAAUCGAUUCCUGAUGAUAACCCCUAAAUCAAACAAUCUAUCAAAUUAAACAACCUGGUAUCAGAAAACACAUUGAAUUAAAGAAGAAACAGAGAAAAUUACCCGUCAAAGAAAGCGGAGGCUGCUAACUUCAGAGAUGGUAACACACUAUUUUUAACAAAACUUUCACUAUAAAUUAUGGUUCAAUUGUGCUAACAGUAACACUAUUUAUACAAUAACCCCCAAAACUGAGACAACGAUACAAUAGAUUCUGUUAUGCUAACAUUAUGGUUCAAUUGUGCUAACAUUAUGGUUCAGAUGUUAGGAAGCAGAAGAAAGAUUCUAGGUAUGGAAAAGAUGGCAUCGUCAUAGAGGGAAAUCAAAACACAAAAUAAGUAAUCAAGCAUG
rnacentral:lncRNA from 1 species